rnacentral:rRNA from 1 species
ACAAGUACCGUGAGGGAAAGUUGCAAAGAACCUUUGAGAGAGAGUUAAGAGGACGUGAAACCGGUGAGGUGGAAACGGAUAGAGUCGGCGUAUCAUUCAAUUAUUCAGUUACAUUAUUUUUAUGUUGUGACCUCUGAGCUCCAGAUUGGGACAGAGGGAAUCAGCAUAAUUUUUUGUGGUGCAUUUACUUGAUUGGUGCUUGGGGAUGUUUGAGGCAGAUUUGUUUCCGUCGUUUUGAGGCCAGCUUGCUGGUACCCAAACGGUGUUAGCAUUUUUUGUCUUGGGCAUUUGAGUAUGGCUCACGUGUAUUUAUUGGACAGAUCUGAGUGUAAGUUACGGUCGCAUGCGACACGUGCUUUUCAAUUAGUUCGGUCCAGUUAAUGCUCUCGUACUCGUUCCCCAUGUAAAAGCCGGUCAUCUAUCCGACCCGUCUUGAAACACGGACCAAGGAGUUUAUCGUGUGCGCAAGUUUUUGGGUGUUAAAAACUUAAAAGCGAAAUGAAAGUAAAUGACUCUUUAGAGUCUGAUGUGCGAUCUUGUAAAAAAGUGUAGCAUGGCCCCAUUCUAACUGUUUACAGUAGGGUGGCGGAAGAGCGUACGCGGUGAGACCCGAAAGAUGGUGAACUAUUCCUGAGCAGGACGAAGCCAGAGGAAACUCUGGUGGAAGUCCGAAGCGGUUCUGACGUGCAAAUCGAUCGUCUGACUUGGGUAUAGGGGCGAAAGACUAAUCGAACCAUCUAGUAGCUGGUUCCUUCCGA